rnacentral:rRNA from 1 species
GGAGCCAGCGAGUACCUCCUUGGCCGGAAGGCCCGGGUAAUCUUGUUAAACUCCGUCGUGCUGGGGAUAGAGCAUUGCAAUUAUUGCUCUUCAACGAGGAAUCCCUAGUAAGCGCAAGUCAUCAGCUUGCGUUGAUUACGUCCCUGCCCUUUGUACACACCGCCCGUCGCUACUACCGAUU